rnacentral:rRNA from 1 species
CUACGUGCCAGCAGCCGCGGUAAUACGGAGGGUGCGAGCGUUAAUCGGAAUAACUGGGCGUAAAGGGCACGCAGGCGGCUAUUUAAGUGAGGUGUGAAAUCCCCGGGCUUAACCUGGGAAUUGCAUUUCAGACUGGGUAGCUAGAGUACUUUAGGGAGGGGUAGAAUUCCACGUGUAGCGGUGAAAUGCGUAGAGAUGUGGAGGAAUACCGAAGGCGAAGGCAGCCCCUUGGGAAUGUACUGACGCUCAUGUGCGAAAGCGUGGGGAGCAAACAGGAUUAGAUACCCUGGUAGUCCACGCUGUAAACGCUGUCGAUUUGGGGAUUGGGCUUUAAGCUUGGUGCCCGUAGCUAACGUGAUAAAUCGACCGCCUGGGGAGUACGGCCGCAAGGUUAAAACUCAAAUGAAUUGACGGGGGCCCGCACAAGCGGUGGAGCAUGUGGUUUAAUUCGAUGCAACGCGAAGAACCUUACCUACUCUUGACAUCCAUGGAAUUCUGUAGAGAUACGGGAGUGC